rnacentral:rRNA from 1 species
GAUGAACGCUGGCGGCGUGCCUAAUACAUGCAAGUCGAGCGAACAGACGAGGAGCUUGCUCCUCUGACGUUAGCGGCGGACGGGUGAGUAACACGUGGAUAACCUACCUAUAAGACUGGGAUAACUUCGGGAAACCGGAGCUAAUAUCGGAUAAUAUAUUGAACCGCAUGGUUCAAUAGUGAAAGACGGUUUUGCUGUCACUUAUAGAUGGAUCCGCGCCGCAUUAGCUAGUUGGUAAGGUAACGGCUUACCAAGGCAACGAUGCGUAGCCGACCUGAGAGGGUGAUCGGCCACACUGGAACUGAGACACGGUCCAGACUCCUACGGGAGGCAGCAGUAGGGAAUCUUACGCAAUGGGCGAAAGCCUGACGGAGCAACGCCGCGUGAGUGAUGAAGGUCUUCGGAUCGUAAAACUCUGUUAUUAGGGAAGAACAAAUGUGUAAGUAACUAUGCACGUCUUGACGGUACCUAAUCAGAAAGCCACGGCUAACUACGUG